rnacentral:rRNA from 1 species
UACGUAGGUGGCAAGCGUUGUCCGGAUUUAUUGGGUUUAAAGGGUGCGUAGGCGGCCCUGUAAGUCAGUGCUGAAAUAUCCCGGCUUAACCGGGAGGGUGGCAUUGAUACUGCGGGGCUAGAGUACAGAUGAGGUAGGCGGAAUUGACGGUGUAGCGGUGAAAUGCUUAGAUAUCGUCAAGAACACCGAUAGCGAAGGCAGCUUACUAGGCUGUAACUGACGCUGAGGCACGAAAGUGUGGGGAUCAAACAGG